rnacentral:rRNA from 1 species
AAUUCGCCCUUAGAGUUUGAUCCUGGCUCAGAUUGAACGCUGGCGGCAUGCCUUACACAUGCAAGUCGAACGGUAACGCGGGGCAGCCUGGCGACGAGUGGCGAACGGGUGAGUAAUAUAUCGGAACGUGCCCAGUCGUGGGGGAUAACUGCUCGAAAGAGCAGCUAAUACCGCAUACGACCUGAGGGUGAAAGCGGGGGAUCUUCGGACCUCGCGCGAUUGGAGCGGCCGAUAUCAGAUUAGGUAGUUGGUGGGGUAAAGGCCUACCAAGCCGACGAUCUGUAGCUGGUCUGAGAGGACGACCAGCCACACUGGGACUGAGACACGGCCCAGACUCCUACGGGAGGCAGCAGUGGGGAAUUUUGGACAAUGGGGGCAACCCUGAUCCAGCCAUGCCGCGUGCGGGAAGAAGGCCUUCGGGUUGUAAACCCCUUUUGUCAGGGAAGAAAUCCU